GAUGAACGCUGGCGGCGUGCCUAAUACAUGCAAGUUGAGCGAACAGACGAGGAGCUUGCUCCUCUGACGUUAGCGGCGGACGGGUGAGUAACACGUGGAUAACCUACCUAUAAGACUGGGAUAACUUCGGGAAACCGGAGCUAAUACCGGAUAAUAUAUUGAACCGCAUGGUUCAAUAGUGAAAGACGGUUUUGCUGUCACUUAUAGAUGGAUCCGCGCCGCAUUAGCUAGUUGGUAAGGUAACGGCUUACCAAGGCAACGAUGCGUAGCCGACCUGAGAGGGUGAUCGGCCACACUGGAACUGAGACACGAUCCAGACUCCGACGGGAGGCAGCAGUAGGGAAUCUUCCGCGAUGGGCGAAAGCUUGAAGGAGCAACGCCGCGUUAGUGAUGAAGGUCUGCGGAUCGUAAAACUCUGUUAGUAGGGAAGAACAAAUGUGUAAGUAACUAUGCACGUCUUGACGGUACCUAAUCAGAAAGCCACGGCUAACUACGUG
rnacentral:rRNA from 1 species